rnacentral:rRNA from 1 species
UACGUAGGUGGCAAGCGUUGUCCGGAUUUACUGGGCGUAAAGAGCGCGCAGGCGGUCGUUCAAGUCGCGUGUGAAAGCCCCCGGCUCAACUGGGGAGGGUCACGCGAUACUGAUCGACUCGAAGGCAGGAGAGGGAAGUGGAAUUCCCGGUGUAGUGGUGAAAUGCGUAGAUAUCGGGAGGAACACCAGUGGCGAAGGCGGCCAACUGGGCCGGACCUGACGCUGAGGCGCGAAGGCGUGGGGAGCGAACGGG